UCAAUAAACUUUUCCAUCUUUAGAGAAUAAUUAUUCCCAGCACAUGAAUUACUUUCUUAUGACAUACUGGAUUUGUGUAUAACAGUUGUUUUUUCCAUAUUUUCACCAGCUUUGAUGCAAUUUACAAUUAAAAAUGACCAUUCAAGCUGUCGGCCAUUUUCAUUCUCUUCAAUAUAAAGACAGGCACCUGUCCAUGGCUACAGUUUAUAAAAUUGUCCAUCUUUAAAGAACAAAUGUACCAAUCACCAUUGAUCACAGGAAUUACUUUCCCAAGACAUACAGGUUUUGUGUAUAUAAAUUGUUUUUUUCAUUAUUUCCACCACUUUGAUGACAUUUACAAGUUUAUAUACAUGUAUAUUUACAUUCAGUAUCUGACAGCAUUUUUAUUUUAACAGGAUCCUGCAUGUUAUAAAAGAACAAAGAUGUUGAUCAAAUUUACCUAACAGUGCAGCAUACAAGAGAUGUAAUAUCAUACAUGUGCUGAAUGUAGGACUCCCUAGCCUUUCUGAUUGAAAAAAAGAUUCCCUGGCAGACAGGAACAACUAUUAGUGAUGACUUUUUUCAAAUGUUACUGCACAGUCAUGUAGUGGACCGAUUACAUGUACUACUAUCAAUGUGAUACUAAAAAAUGGUUUUGUAAGAGAGAAAAUGACAUGUGCUUAUCCUGACUGUGAAAACAACACAUUAUUGUAGUUCAAUUAUCAUAGUUCAUAUGCCAAACUUGAUGUACAUGUGUAUGCGAUUUUUGUGCAAGUGAUGGUGACAUCAUUGAACUAAGAAUAAAUACAAGACUCCGCAUUCAAUCUAUUGAAUUUGAAACAGAAGUGGCAGUUGUGCAGAGACUAUACGGAUAAAAAUGCAAAUAAAUAUCUUGUGUUCAA